rnacentral:tRNA from 1 species
GGGCAAGUGGCGGAAUGGCAGACGCGAUGGACUUAAAAUCCAUUGUCCUUUAAAGACGUGAGGGUUCGACUCCCUCUUUGCCCACCA